AGGGGAACAAGGAAAUAAGCAGGGACAACAUCCUAUGCAAGAUUACAUAUGUAGCUAAUGUGAAUCCAGGAGGAUGGGCACCAGCAUCAGUUUUACGGGCAGUGGCAAAACGAGAAUAUCCAAAAUUCUUGAAGCGUUUCACAUCCUAUGUGCAGGAGAAAACAGCAGGAAAGCCUAUUUUAUUCUAGUUUUAGCAGCAAUUGGAACAAGACUGAGUGAGCAUUCCGUGUUGGAGAAGUGACCAUACAUAGAGCACUCCAUGCUGGAAAGAAGGAUCUACAGUCUUUUUAUGGCCCAAGUUCUAGGCUUUAUAUACUGAAGUGAAGAACGUGUUGCAACACCAUGAAGCUGAAUAUUUAACACUAGCUCUCUCCUUCUAACUUUUCUUGCUGAAUCAGUGUGCAAUUAUAAAUACAUGUAUUGAUAACAUGUAUAUGGCUCUACUUUGAUUUGCUUGCUUUAGAAGAGGAAGAAUGCAUACAGCUUUGAAUCUCCAAUGUUACUGCUUUAAUUUUAAAUAAGUUGCAGGAUUUCACUGUCAACCUUCCUAAGAUACUCACACAGUUUUUGUGCAUGUCUAAAAAGCACAAAAGGCAAAUGCACAUAUAGCAUACUGUAUGUGGUGUUUCUGGGGGGAGGGAGGGACUUCAGUAAGGCCUAGGUGACUUAUUGAUAGGUUUUGUUUUGCUUUGUAUAAUCACAUUUCAUUGCUGCUGGUUUCUAUACUGAAUCACCUUGUCACAUAAAAUGUCAGUUAAUAACUGAGGGCUGUCAAUAUCCUUAUGACUUUGCCUUUUCUAUUGUCUUACUCUUAUGACGAUCUGGUUCUGAAGGAGUAAGAGUGUGAAAAGCUUUAUUUUUUUUCAAGAUAUCUUUAUAUUUCUAUUGUAUUUUUUAGUUAUAUAAUAUGUGCUACAGAAUUUUUGUUAUUAAACACAAUCCAGAAAUAUCUAGGAAGAUUCCCUGUGAAAUGGCAAGAGACUUGCCUGAGAGCUAGAAGUCAUCUGUCCAUGAUGUAUGUGGACUUCUUUCUUGCAUGAUACCCAGGGCUUUCCUGAAGCUGUGAGAAGGUACACUAUGAUAUUUAUUGAAGUAAUUUGGACUACAUAAGACAAUAUUACCAGACUAGAAUGAGGAUGAGUACAUUAUUUUCAGAUCCUGCAUAUGUUUUCCUUAUCUUAAUAAAGCCAUGCUUUGAGGUUCAUGUAGAAAAUUAUUUCUCUCUUGAUUGAAAUCCAUCAGAGCUAUAAGGAUGCAUAGUUCUUAUCAGAAAUUUCCCUUUAGUUGCUGUGAGAAUUUAAAUGUCAGAUAUUUGCCUUUGAUUCUGGAGAUAUGCUUAUUAGGAGAGGACUAUGGCAGCCUCGUACUGACUUUGAGGUCUCUCAUCUGUGUCCAGUAGUUGGAAACUCUAUAGAGACUGCUUGGCAUUUCACUAACCUGUGUAUCUUGAGAAAAAAGUUUCAGAUUUUUUUUUUCCCCAUAAGGAAGCUGAAAGUCUCAUUUGGAAUAGUAUGGUAGGUGCCUGAAAAUAUAUAUAAUAUCUUAAUGAAGAUUUGGUAAAAGAUUACGUGUGAUCUGCACAGUGUUGAAAAACUUUGUUCAUCUUCUCUGUAGAGAGGAAAUCAUAUAUAACACAUGAUUACACAUGCAUGCAGAUUUCAUGCUCCAUAACUCUUCCCUUUUUAUUUGCCUUUCUCUAAUGGUGUGCAUGGAAUAUGCCUUAUUACAGAAUUACUCUGUUAAUUUGAAUAUGUAGAAAAGUGCCUAUAUGGUAAUGCUGGUAAGGCAAAUAAGAUGAAAAUUUGUACAAGUUUACUAUAUCAUCAGUGAGCAUUUUAUAUGGAGAUGUAAAAAAAAAAAAAAUCUUAUACCUCAAAU